rnacentral:lncRNA from 1 species
CCAAAUCUGUUUAUUACAGAGAUUAUUACAUUAUUACAGCCCAAAAUAGUAUAAGCUACAUAACAAUAUCCAUUGCACUAUAGGGAGCCUUAGCAUGCCCAAUAUAAACCUGGGAACCAGGUCUUCAAACAUAGCAACUCUGAAGCAUAAAGGAAGAUCCAUCCAUGCCACAUAAAAUUAGGUUCCUAGUGUGUCAAAGUUCCCCAAGGGCCUCAGAGACCCCGGGCAAUGCUCACACCAGGACCACACUUAAAGAAACAAUUCAUAAAAGAUUGGAAGGCCAAUUCCAAUGUGUCAGUGUUCAGAGGAGUCUCAAGGACCCUAGGCAAUGCUCACACUAGGGGUAGUAGGAACCUAAAGGACUAAGAGUAUCAACUUGAAAACCAGUACAUAGAGGGUAAGGGGAUAGUUCUAGAAAAAACAGUUUAAUUUUCAGAAGCAAAUAGAUUCAUAUUACAGGGUUGAAAACAGAGUUGUAAGAAACAAACAGAAUUUAUAUUUGGCACAUGGUUCAAGCAGAUUGAUAUUUGUUCAAACUAGAUACUCAUGCCAGUAUUCAAAGUAAUCAUAGAACGUAAGGACACUUGAAUUAACAGACAGAAUUAGCCACAUAUUAAUUACAUGCUUGCAGUAUUCAGCCAUGUUUAGAACAGGGAACAUAUGACUGAAUCAUACAAGGUUUCACAUUAUUGGAGAUAACUUAGUUUAGCAUUAACACUAAGUGGAAUCAUAUAGUCAUAUGGCAAACAGAAUCAUUCUAAAAUAAACUAACCAAAUAAGCACAUAGAACACAAUAGGAUGACAUGAAUCAAAGCAUAACAGUUGAGAAAGAAGUAAACAGGUAGACAAUGGAAAUUUGAACCCAAAGAAUCUAGCCUUGACUUUCAGCCGUCCAAAGAGUAUAGAAAUCAGAAUAAUAAAAAGAGAGAAGUUUUUUAGAACAGAGAGUUUGAAAGUUAUAAGGUUGUUCAGUGAAGAAGUUGUAAAGCGUGUAAGUGUCUUAGUGUGUCUUUGUAAAAUUAGGACAAAGGAGUGGCUUUUAUAGCAUAUAGUAGAGUAAAAUGAAUAAGGUAUAAAAUCAAUUACACACAAAUAAGGUAUGAAAAUCAGUUAAUCAAUCAAUUACGAUCAACAUGAAUCAACUAAGAAGACAAAAAUCAAGUAAGUACCACUUAUUUUAAG